rnacentral:rRNA from 1 species
UACGUAGGGUCCGAGCGUUGUCCGGAAUUACUGGGCGUAAAGAGCUCGUAGGUGGUUUGUCGCGUUGUUCGUGAAAACUCACAGCUCAACUGUGGGCGUGCGGGCGAUACGGGCAGACUAGAGUACUGCAGGGGAGACUGGAAUUCCUGGUGUAGCGGUGGAAUGCGCAGAUAUCAGGAGGAACACCGGGUGGCGAAGGCGGGUCUCUGGGGCAG